AAAUUAAAAUUGCCUAGAAACCCUAAAUUAAAUUAAAAAUAUCCCUCUCCAUCUCCCUUCCCAACGGCAUCUCCAUCUCCAUAUCUCAAUUGGCAGAAAUGACUCGUGUUUUCCCCACACCAAGAGUCAUAGCCCUCGCAGAUUUCACGCCGCCGGCCUGCUUGCCCGGAGAAGAAAGCCGAGGACUUGGCUGUCUCGGAGUUUGGUCCCCGCCGCGGCUGCUACUCGCCAUCAUCAGACGCCGUCGUCUCCUGCAGCAGGUCGCUGGUCCGGAUUCGUGGGCAGCGUCACGUGGCUGCUGACUCGCGGCCUUGCCGCCGCUGCCAACUGCGCGAACCCAUCGCCGUCCGCCCUCCCAUCGUUUGAUCCAGCUGAGCAAAGUGGUGACUUAUCAAGAUCCAUGGGCAUCCCAACUUUCAAUCGAACUAUGGCCUUCCUGAAAUCCACACAUAUAGACUACAAUGCCACGGGCUUAUACUGGUGUUGGGAAAUGAAGCUUUGGAAAUCAUAGAAUAUGCUUUUUCAAAAGAUAGGUUGUGAAGACUUUUGACUUCAGCCUCACUGGUGCCUCUUCAAGAUCUUGUAAAUAUGUCAUGGAUACUAUGAUGCAGACUUUUAAGAACAAGAGGCUUGCUUAUGCAGUUAAAGAGAGUACUCUUGAUAGUCUCAUCAUGGAACUAUUGCUCCGGCUUUUGGAUGAUAGUAAUCCCCAAUGGAUGAUGGAAGUCAACUUUUAAGAGCUUUGAAUGUUCUGAUGUUAAAGAUUCUGGAUAACGUAGAAUGUAUUUCAUCAUUUCCUGUGCUUAUAUAUCUGUCAAGACCUGGAUCCAUCAAGAUGGCCAUCUCCAUCAAAUGAUCUCUUGAAAUCAGGAACCAGAAGUUCUCUGAUUUGGUUGUUAAAUGUUUGAUCAUGCUCACAAAGGUUAAGGAGCCAAAACCAGAAGCUGUUCCUUAGGCUGUGGGUUCAGUACCCACUUAAGAGUGUAGCUGAUGCACCUCAGGACCUUAUCGAUCCAGUUGAUAUAUUAAAGCCUUUGGAGAAGUCUGGAUUUUAGGAAGCGGUUAAAGCUUCAAAAUGGUGGGAGAGGAAAGAGGCUGUUGCUGAACUAGCCGAACUUGCUUCAACCAAAAAGAUUUCUCUUGGAGAUUUUUCAGAAAGUUUGUCAUACAUUAAAGAAGGUGUGCUAUGGGUUUCCUUGACCACAGGUCCACAACUCAAUUAAGGUUAUCACGAAUGUAAAUGUUACUGAAGGAAGGAAAAAAAGGAAAAAAAAAGAAAAAACAUUGUUGUUGCAGCUGAAGCUAUUCAAGCGCUGGGCAACCUUCCUAAGGGCAUGAGAACCCUUCCUAAAAAAAGAAAAAAAAAAGAAAAAAAAGGAAAGAAAAUGAAAAAAGCAAAAAAGGGAAAAAAAGGAAAAAAUAAUUGCUGAUGCAUUUAAAGCUAUUCAAGCACUGGGCAACUUUGCUGGGGAUCCGAAAGCCCAUUUUUCGGCCAGUUGUCGCUUCUUAUUUGCCUGUAAACCGCACCUCAGGACCUUGUCGAUCCGGUUGAUAUAUUAAAGCCUCCUUAGGAGAAGUCUGGAUUUUGGGAAGCGGUGAUAGCUUCUAAAUGGCGUGAGAGGAAAGAAGCUGUUGCUGAACUAACCGAACUUGCUUCCACCAAAAAGAUUUCUCUUGGAGAUUUUUUCAGAAAGUUUGUCAUACAUUAAAGAAGGUUAUCAGGAAUGUAAAUGUUACUGAAGGAAGGAAAAAAAGGAAAAAACAUUGUUGUCGCAGCUGAAGCUAUUCAAGCGCUGGGCAACCUUCCUAAGGGCCUGAGAACCCUUCUAAAAAAAAGAGAAAAAAGGAAAAAAAGGAAAAAAACAAAAAAAGGGAAAAAAGGGAAAAAGAGAAAAAAAAUAAUUGCUACUGCGUAUAAAGCUAUUCAAGCAUUGGGCAACGUUGCUAGACUUUUCAGAACAAGAGCCUUGCUUAUGCAGUUAAGGAGUGUACUCUGAUAGUCUCAUCAAUGAACUGUUUCUCUGGCUUUUGGAUGAUAGGCUUCCGGAGAUGGAUGAUGGACGUCAAAUUUUAACUGCUUUGAAUGUUCUGAUGUUAAAGAUUCUGGAUAACGCAUAAUAUACGUCAUCAUUUCCUGUGGCUAUAAAUCUGUUAAGACCUCUGGAUCAAUCAAGAUGUCCAUCUUCAGAUCAGAAACAUAAAACCUAAAGUUCUCUGAUUUGGUUUUUAACUGUUUGAUCAUGCUCUAAAGGAAUCUACAACUCCAAAGAAGGUUGUUAAAGUAACUUAACUGGUGGCAUAGAUGGACUUCCACGUGAAGAUAUAAGUGAAAAGGUCACCCCCCUUUUGUUAAAAGGCUUAUAGAGUUCUGAUUGGAAGGUCCACUUGGAAUCUAUUGAAAAUGUAACCAAAAUUCUGGAAGAGGAGAACUGGAACUGGAGAUCUAUUUGGAGCUCUAUAAGGGCGUCAACACGACAGUUCUAAAAUUUGAUAAUUGCUACUUUGUCAACAGUUGGUGCUCUUCGGACUACAAUGGGACAUCCAGUUGAGAAGUCAAGCUAGCUCCUGUGAAGGCUUGAUCAUUUACACGAAUGUAGCUUGUGCAAGGGAUUCUUUCUGAUUUUUCAGAUGUCUUGAAAUGCCUUGGUGACAACAAAAAGCAUAUGCAUGAGUGUACAUCGAGUACCUUAGAUACUUGGCUUGAGUGUACAUCUGGCCAAUGUUGUCAAGUCGCCACGUAGCCAAAGGUCGAGGUUCUAGGUUUUGUCGGAACCCAAUUUAUGUGCAUCAAUGAUUCUGACCAACCAUCUUAAGCUUUAAUGAAUUGAAGCUGCCUUUGUAAAUGCUCCUCAGGACCUUAUCGAUCCAGUUGAUAUAUUAAAGCUUUUGGAGAAGUCUGGAUAUUGGGAAGCUGUGAUAGCUUCAAAAUUGCGUGAGAGGAAAGAAGCUGUUGCUGAACUAACCGAACUUGCUUCCACCAAAAAGAUUUCUCUUGGAGAUUUUUUCAGAAAGUUUGUCAUACAUUAAAGAAGGUUAUCACGAAUGUAAAGGUUACUGAAGGAAGGAAAAAAAGGAAAAAAAAAAGAAAACACAUUGUUGUUGCAGCUGAAGCUAUUCAAGCUCUGGGCAACCUUGGCAUGAGAACCCUUCCUAAAAAAAGAAAAAAAAAAGAAAAAAAAGGAAAAAAAAUGAAAAAAAUAAUUGCUGAUGUAUUUAAAGCUAUUCAAGCACUGGGCAACUGUGCUAGAGAUCCGAGAGCCCAUUUUUCGGCCAAUUGUUGCUUCUUAUUUGCCUGUAAACCGUCUAAGAUGUCUUCCCUAUCAGCACCUCAGGACCUUAUCGAUCCAGUUGAUAUAUUAAAGCCUCCUUUUUAUAAGUUUGGAUUUUGGGAAGCGGUGAAAGCUUCAAAAUGGCAUGAGAGGAAAGAAGCUGUUGCUGAACUAACCGAACUUGCUUCCACCAAAAAGAUUUCUCUUGGAGAUUUUUUCAGAAAGUUUGUAAUACAUUAAAGAAGGUUAUCACGAAUGUAAAGGUUACUGAAGGAAGGAAAAAAAGGAAAAAAAAAAGAAAAAAACAUUGUUGUUGCAGCUGAAGCUAUUCCAGCGCUCGGCAACCUUCCUAAGGGCAUGAGAACCCUUCCUAAAAAAAGAAAAAAAAAGAAAAAAAGGAAAGUAAAUGAAAAAAAGCAAAAAAAGGAAAAAAAGGAAAAAAUAAUUGCUGAUGCAUUUAAAGCUAUUCAAGCACUGGGCAACUUUGCUGGGGAUCCGAGAGCCCAUUUUUCGGCCAGUUGUCGCUUCUUAUUUGCCUGUAAACCGCACCUCAGGACCUUGUCGAUCCAGUUGAUAUAUUAAAGCCUCCUUAGGAGAAGUCUGGAUUUUGGGAAGCGGUGAUAGCUUCAAAAUUGCGUGAGAGGAAAGAAGCUGUUGCUGAACUAACCGAACUUGCUUCCACCAAAAAGAUUUCUCUUGGAGAUUUUUUCAGAAAGUUUGUCAUACAUUAAAGAAGGUUAUCAGGAAUGUAAAUGUUACUGAAGGAAGGAAAAAAAGGAAAAAACAUUGUUGUCGCAGCUGAAGCUAUUCAAGCGCUGGGCAACCUUCCUAAGGGACUGAGAACCCUUCUAAAAAAAAGAGAAAAAAGGAAAAAAAGGAAAAAAAGAAAAAAAGUAAAAAAAGGGAAAAAGAGAAAAAAAAUAAUUGCUACUGCGUAUAAAGCUAUUCAAGCAUUGGGCAACGUUGCUAGACUUUUCAGAACAAGAGCCUUGCUUAUGCAGUUAAGGAGUGUACUCUGAUAGUCUCAUCAAUGAACUGUUUCUCUGGCUUUUGCAUGAUAGGCUUCCGGAGAUGGAUGAUAGACGUCAAAUUUUAACUGCUUUGAAUGUUCUGAUGUUAAAGAUUCUGGAUAACGCAUAAUAUACGUCAUCAUUUCCUGUGCCUAUAAAUCUGUUAAGUCCUCUGGAUCAAUCAAGAUGUCCAUCUUCAGAUCAGAAACUUAAAACCUAAAGUUCUCUGAUUUGGUUUUUAACUGUUUGAUCAUGCUCUAAAGGAAUCUGCAACUCCAAAGAAGGUUGUUAAAGUAACUUAACUGGUGGCAUAGAUGGACUUCCACGUGAAGAUAUAAGUGAAAAGGUCACCCCCACUUUGUUAAAAGGCUUAUAGAGUUCUGAUUGGAAGGUCCACUUGGAAUCUAUUGAAAAUGUAACCAAAAUUCUGGAAGAGGAGAACUGGAAUUGGAAAUCUAUUUGGAGCUCUAUAAGGGCGUCUACACGACAGUUCUAAAAUUUGAUAAUUGCUACUUUGUCCACAGUUGGUGCUCUUCGGACUACAAUGGGACAUCCGGUUGAGAAGUCAAGCUAGCUCCUGUGAAGGCUUGAUCAUUUACACGAAUGUAGCUCGUGCAAGGGAUUCUUUCAGAUUUUUCUGAUGUCUUGAAAUGCCUUGGUGACAACAAAAAGCAUAUGCAUGAGUGUACAUCUAGUACCUUAGAUACUUGGCUUGAGUGUAUAUCUGGCCAAUGUUGUCAAGUCACCACGUAGCCAAAGGUCGAGGUUCUAGGUUUUGUGGGAACCCAAUUUAUGUGCAUCACUGAUUCUGACCAACCAUCUUAAGCUUUAAUGAAUUGAAGCUGCCUUUGUAAAUGCUCCUCAGGACCUUAUCGAUCCAGUUUAUAUAUUAAAGCCUUUGGAGAAGGCUGGAUAUUGGGAAGCGGUGAAAGCUUCAAAAUGGUGGGAGAGGAAAGAGGCUGAACUAGCCGAACUUGCUUCAACCAAAAAGAUUUCUCUUGGAGAUUUUUUCAGAAAGUUUGUCAUACAUUAAAGAAGGUAAUCACGAAUGUAAAUGUUACAGAUGGAAAAAAAAGAAAAAAAACAUUGUUGUUGCAGCUGAAGCUAUUCAAGCGCUGGGCAACCUUGGCAUGAGAACCCUUCCUUAAAAAAGAAAAAAAAAAGAAAAAAAUGAAAAAAAUAAUUGCUGACGUAUUUAAACCUAUUCAAGCACUGGGCAACUGUGCUAGGGAUCCGAGAGCCCAUUUUUCGGCCAGUUGCUGCUUCUUAUUUGCCUGUAAACCGCACCUCAAGACCUUAUCGAUCCAGUUGAUAUAUUAAAGCCUCCUUAGGAUAAGUCUGUAUUUUGGGAAGCGGUGAAAGCUUCAAAAUGGCAUGAGAGGAAAGAAGCUGUUGCUGAACUAACCGAACUUGCUUCCACCAAAAAGAUUUCUCUUGGAGAUUUUUUCAGAAAGUUUGUCAUACAUUAAAGAAGGUUAUCACGAAUGUAAAGGUUGCUGAAGGAAGGAAAAAAAGGAAAAAAAAAGAAAAAUACAUUGUUGUUGCAGCUGUAGCUAUUCAAGCGCAGGGCAACCUUCCUAAGGGUUGAGAACCCUUCCUAAAAAAAGAAAAAAAAAAGAAAAAAGGAAAGAAAAUGAAAAAAACAAAAAAGGAAAAAAAGGAAAAAAUAAUUGCUGAUGCAUUUAAAGCUAUUCAAGCACUGGGCAACUUUGCUGGGGAUCCGAGAGCCCAUUUUUCGGCCAGUUGUCGCUUCUUAUUUGCCUGUAAACCGAUGUCUUCCCUAUCAGCACCUCAGGACCUUGUCGAUCCAGUUGAUAUAUUAAAGCCUCCUUAGGAGAAGUCUGGAUUUUGGUAAGCGGUGAUAGCUUCAAAAUGGCGUGAGAGAAAAGAAGCUGUUGCUGAACUAACCGAACUUGCUUCCACCAAAAAGAUUUCUCUUGGAGAUUUUUUCAGAAAGUUUGUCAUACAUUAAAGAAGGUUAUCACCAAUGUAAAGGUUACUGAAGGAAGGAAAAAAAGGAAAAAAAAAAGAAAAAUACAUUGUUGUUGCAGCUGAAGCUAUUCAAGCGCAGGGCAACCUUCCUAAGGGUUGAGAACCCUUCCUAAAAAAAGAAAAAAAAAAAAAAAAAGGAAAGAAAAUGAAAAAAACAAAAAAGGAAAAAAAGGAAAAAAUAAUUGCUGAUGCAUUUAAAGCUAUUCAAGCACUGGGCAACUUUGCUGGGGAUCCGAGAGCCCAUUUUUCGGCCAGUUGUCGCUUCUUAUUUGCCUGUAAACCGAUGUCUUCCCUAUCAGCACCUCAGGACCUUGUCGAUCCAGUUGAUAUAUUAAAGCCUCCUUGGGAGAAGUCUGGAUUUUGGGAAGCGGUGAUAGCUUCAAAAUGGCGUGAGAGAAAAGAAGCUGUUGCUGAACUAACCGAACUUGCUUCCACCAAAAAGAUUUCUCUUGGAGAUUUUUUCAGAAAGUUUGUCAUACAUUAAAGAAGGUUAUCAGGAAUGUAAAUGUUACUGAAAGAAGGAAAAAAAAGGAAAAAAAACAUUGUUGUCGCAGCUGAAGCUAUUCAAGCGCUGGGAAACCUUCCUAAGGGCCUGAGAAACCUUCUAAAAAAAGAGAAAAAAGGAAUAAAAGGAUAAAAAGAAAAAAAGUAAAAAAAGGGAAAAAGAGAAAAAAAAUAAUUGCUACAGCGUAUAAAGCUAUUCAAGCAUUGGGCAACGUUGCUAGACUUUUCAGAACAAGAGCCUUGCUUAUGCAGUUAAGGAGUGUACUCUGAUAGUCUCAUCAAUGAACUAUUUCUCUGGCUUUUGGAUGAUAGGCUUCCGGAGAUGGAUGAUGGACGUCAAAUUUUAACUGCUUUGAAUGUUCUGAUGUUAAAGAUUCUGGAUAACGCAUAAUAUACGUCAUCAUUUCCUGUGUCUAUAAAUAUGUUAAGACCUCUGGAUCCAUCAAGAUGUCCAUCUUCAGAUCAGAAACCUAAAACCUAAAGUUCUCUGAUUUGGUUUUUAACUGUUUGAUCAUGCUCUAAAGGAAUCUGCAACUCCAAAGAAGGUUGUUAAAGUAACUUAACUGGUGGCAUAGAUGGACUUCCACGUGAAGAUAUAAGUGAAAAGGUCACCCCCACUUUGUUAAAAGGCUUAUAGAGUUCUGAUUGGAAGGUCCACUUGGAAUCUAUUGAAAAUGUAACCAAAAUUCUGGAAGAGGAGAACUGGAAUUGGAAAUCUAUUUGGAGCUCUAUAAGGGCGUCUACACGACAGUUCUAAAAUUUGAUAAUUGCUACUUUGUCCACAGUUGGUGCUCUUCGGACUACAAUGGGACAUCCGGUUGAGAAGUCAAGCUAGGGGAUUUUUUCAGAUUUUUCAAAUGUCUUGAAAAGCCUUGGUGACAACAAAAAGCAUAUGCAUGAGUGUACAUUGAGUACCUUAGAUAAUUGGCUUGAGUGUACAUCUGGCCAAUG